CACAUUUCUUAGCUUCUCUGAGCCUCCAUUUCAGCAUCUGUAAAAUGUUACUACCUACUUUAUAGGUUUUCUGAUGAGGCUUAAGUGUGGUUGUGUGUGUGACCAUCUUAGCAUAGUGUGUAGCAGUGGUAAGCACUCAGUGCUGUCAGCUGUUUUUACUGCUGUUAUUAUAUUACUGUGUUUUCCCAUGUCAUUAGGUCUGUGAUCCAGGCUUCAGCAGACAAUCCAGGCUGAUGCUUUUGCUGAGUGCACUAAGGGAUGCUGGCCUGGCGGGAUGGUGAACUGGAAGCAGAAAUGUCAUCAUCUCUCUUCCUUCUUGCCAUGCAGGUGUGGAUGUGUGGGGGCCGCAUGGAGGACAUCCCCUGCUCCAGGGUGGGCCAUAUCUACAGGAAGUAUGUGCCCUACAAGGUCCCGGCCGGAGUCAGCCUGGCCCGGGUAAGAACCUUAAGCGGGUGGCCGAAGUGUGGAUGGACGAGUAUGCAGAGUACAUUUACCAGCGCCGGCCUGAAUACCGCCACCUCUCCGCUGGGGAUGUCGCCGUCCAGAAAAAGCUCCGCACCUCCCUUAACUGCAAGAGUUUCAAGUGGUUUAUGACGAAGAUAGCCUGGGACCUGCCCAAAUUCUACCCACCCGUGGAGCCCCCGGCUGCAGCUUGGGGAGAGAUCCGAAAUGUGGGCACAGGGCUGUGCGCAGACACAAAGCACGGGGCCUUGGGCUCCCCGCUAAGGCUAGAGGGCUGCAUCCGGGGCCGCGGGGAGGCUGCCUGGAACAACAUGCAGGUAUUCACCUUCACCUGGAGAGAGGACAUCCGGCCUGGAGACCCCCAGCACACCAAGAAGUUCUGCUUUGAUGCCAUUUCCCACACCAGCCCUGUCACGCUCUACGACUGCCACAGCAUGAAGGGCAACCAGCUGUGGAAAUACCGCAAAGACAAGACCCUGUACCACCCUGUCAGUGGCAGCUGCAUGGACUGCAGUGAAAGUGACCAUAGGAUCUUCAUGAACACCUGCAACCCAUCCUCUCUCACCCAGCAGUGGCUGUUUGAACACACCAACUCAACAGUCUUGGAAAAAUUCAAUAGGAACUGAGCCCUCAUGUCCCCUUGGCAGGCCCCCCAGGGUCUGGCACUCACUGCAGCCUUCCUCUUUCAAGAGAGGCAGGGCCCUGUGGGCACUAGGUGUAAAAGGUGCUGGCCAAAUGGUUCAGGGUGAAGAGGGCUCUUGAUUCAGGGGCUAGGGUCUGCCUGGUCCUUGAGCCCCUGAGUUGUGGGGGUAGGGUGAAGAGCAUAUCCCACAAGAGGCCCCACAGGGAGCAGAGCUUGCUUUAAUCCCUGCUGACAUCACGGAAAAGUAACAGAGCCUUUUCAACUUUGUCACUAUGUCCCCUUGAACAUUAUGUGGGAGAAUACCAAGGUAGCCUAGGCCACCCAAAAGUGAGUCCUGCAAGGUUGCCCAGCCCUCAGAUGGCUCUCCUACAUGAUGGUGCUUUAGAAAGAAAGGUAAAAUUUGCCUGUUUGGGGCAGCUUUUAGUAUCGAUGCCACUCAUCUGCAGCAGAAGAGAAAGAAGUCCUCUUGGGGCUUUUUAGUUUCUGCCGUCCUGGGGGGAACAUUGCAGUUACUGCCCAGCUUCUGUUCUCUGUCACAACCCCAGGUGAUUUGGUCUGGUCAAAGGCCAUACUUGGGGCCCUAAGAGUGUUCAGUACUGAAUGCUGAUCAGCUGCCAGGUGAGGAGUCAGAAGAGGGACCCCCCAGACAUUUCUUUGCAGCUAUGGACAUGCGGAAUAUCUCCCCCUGCUCUCUGGGUGUUUGAAAUGUCAAUUUUAGCACUCUCCAGGCACAAGGACAGCCCAGCCACCAGCUUUACAGGGCAGUGUUUCAGAUGGCCCUGAGCCCACGGAAAAGGCCAAGUAGACCUCCAAACUAGAAAUGCUGGCUGAUUUGCCCUGAUCCAUGCUUCCAUUUCCCUGUCUCUCUUCCCCAGGCAAUUACUGGCCUCAAAAGAGGAACAGAGGUGCUGCGAGAUGCUCACCUCACAGAGUCUGGAGGCCUCCAGGAUCAACUGUGGGCAAAGUGCCUGCCUCUGACCUCAUCAUGGUUCUAGUUCUCAUAUAGAACUCCAGAAUUUUUAAAGAACUCUGUAAUUGGAUUGCAAACUAGGAUGCUACAUAGGAUUCUGGUAUUCUACAUCCAAUAUGGAUUUCUAGAAUGCUGUGAUUAAAGGAGCCAGCCAGGUGUAAUACAGUCAAGGCAGCCCCCAGCCUAGAGACAAUCUGUGAAAUCCAAAGUAGGUAGUGUUGGGGAAGCAGGGGGACAUGUGUCCCUCAGCUCAGCAGAGGCUGUGGUACAACAUGGUCCUCGGUGAAGACCUGCACCCCUGGAACCUCCCACCAUCAUCACAACUGUAGUCUCACUUGCAGUGGAGAAAAGAACCCAAUGUCCCACAGCCAGAUAUACACCCAGCUCCAUGCCAGCCCUUCAUGUUUACCUUUUGCUUUGUUAAUUACAUGUCAGACUCCUAGAGGGCCUCCAGACUAAUAGGAAGCAUUUCUGUAACCAACCUGCCACCCACUGAUUCAGAAGCGGAAAUCACAUUCCACAAUCUAUGGCUUCCACCAGCUAGCCCAGGAAAUACUUGAAAUCAGCAUUCCAAUUAGUGUUGAGUCUCUUGAUUGUGUCAUUUACCAAUUACAUAACUGAGACCUAAGUCUGGGAACAGAGCCACGAAUCUGCCUUUGAGAUGCUGGUGGAUCUCAAGGCCAUCAAUUAUUGGAGGAGGGAGGGACAAACACUCCCAAUCAUCCACCAGUCAGACUGAAUGUGUAGCUGGCGAGGAAUUACUUCCACUUCUGGCCCAGCACAAGCCCUGCUUUGGCCACCUAUCUGCAAGAGAGGCAGCCCCUGUGCUUGCAACGCUUACAUGUUGAUCCCAGUGUCCUUUUCCAAAUGAGUGCUGUAGCUUUAGAAGUGGCCCUCUAUAGAAAGAAGUCAAAAGAUGAGGCCCCUUCUAGAAUCUAGGAUAACAAGACUGUUGGCAGUUUGAGGAGUCGAAUUGAGAUUCAUCAUCAAAGAGCAAUGCAGCAUCAUUAAAAUAAAAACUGUGCCUUUUAAAAAGAAAAAUGCAAAUAUAGAGCAAAUCCCUAAACUUGAA
rnacentral:sRNA from 1 species